UAUAUUAUGCAGUUUGUUUUUUGAUUUUCGAAUUAGUUUUCAUAAUAAUCGGGAAAAAACAUAAGAAAGUAAGGCCAAAAUAAAUUACGGCACUUUAAAUUAUGUAUUACCGAACUGCGCUCGGCAUUGUCUUUCGUCAAGCAAUGGGUUAUCGUUGCUUACGGGUAUAAACGAAAUAACCUUAUAUAUCCUACCUUGUCAACUUCUCACCCAUAACAUUGACCGCUUCCAUCCCCACUAUCAGCUCUUUUUAUAAUUACAGUUAUUUAUUGUUGAAAAUAUUCAAACGCUAUUAAUUAAAGUACAAACGUAUCUGAUAUGAAAGUUGUUGUAGAUGAUAGUAGUGAGACUUGUUCGAAAAGGUGUUUUUGUCAGCCGGUAUAUAUAUACUGGUCCCCCCCCAACUAGAUAUGCUUAGUUCGCGCUUUUCAACAAUAACAUGUUAUUGCGUAGUCAGACGAUAACCUCACGCAUUUGGCCCCUAAUAUCCGGGUCAUACUAAAUGCGCGCAUAUGUGUUCAAUCGGCUAUUGCCUUAAUUUACACGUUACAUUAAUAUUCAAAAUAUUCAAAUAUACAAUUCUUACCACAGCCGUUCGCAUUGCGGCGUGGUAAACUACCUAUUAUUGUGUUGCAGUAAAUCCCAUACUUUAUGCUGUAUAAUAAGAUAUAUGGUACUAACAAGAAGCGGGACGACGCCCGUAACAAUAUAUUAAUUUAUAGAAAGUAAGACUUUACCAAUAGCUUAAACGGCAUCAAAUCAAUCAUGAUUUACUAAUGUAAUAAUUGACUUGAGAAACAUAUUUAUUAAGAGACACUUUUUUCACUUCUCAUUUGUUGUAUUUAAUAUAAUUUUGUUUUUUAUCAUAAGAUCUUAGGUAAUAUCAUUUUUUAAAAUUCGACUUAAUAGUACCUAACUUAUUUAUUUCGUUAGGUAAUUCAUAUAACAUAAAAUAACUAACUGUUAGAUCAGUACAUUACAAUAUUAAAACAAUUUUUUUUAUAACUAUAAGAAACUAUUAAAAUCGAAAUUUUUGUCUGAAUUUGAAGCACUAUUACAGUUUGAAAUUCCAAAAUCUACCAUCAACAGCAAUAUUUAAAAGUUAUGAAUCUCAUAGAAGCUAGAAGGUCUCAUUAUUGCAAAUAAAUAGGGAUUUCUUUUAACUACAUAUAAAAUUCAAAAACGAUUUUUCUGAACAAUAGACGAUAUUACUAAAGUAAAUUUAGAUAAUAUAGUUUUGGACUUGAUGAAGACAAGAGAUCAGUGAGGACAUAUGAUAUUUGAUUUCUUACGUUAUUUAUUUAUAUUUUAAUUUAAGUUUUUUUGUUAGGGAAAGGUUACUAAAAGACUAG